rnacentral:rRNA from 1 species
AGCGAACGCUGGCGGCAGGCCUAACACAUGCAAGUCGAACGAACCUUUCGGGGUUAGUGGCGGACGGGUGAAUAACACGUGGGAACGUGCCUUUAGGUUCGGAAUAACUCAGGGAAACUUGUGCUAAUACCGAAUGUGCCCUUCGGGGGAAAGAUUAAUCGCCUUUAGAGCGGCCCGCGUCUGAUUAGCUAGUUGGUUGAGGUAAUGGCUCACCAAGGCGACGAUCAGUAGCUGGUCUGAGAGGAUGAUCAGCCACAUUGGGACUGAGACACGGCCCAAACUCCUACGGGAGGCAGCAGUGGGGAAUCUUGCGCAAUGGGCGAAAGCCUGACGCAGCCAUGCCGCGUGAAUGAUGAAGGUCUUAGGAUUGUAAAAUUCUUUCAACGGGGACGAUAAUGACGGUACCCGGAGAAGAAGCCCCGGCUAACUUCGUG